ensembl:antisense
UUGCUCAAGCAAAGUACCUAAUGAUCACAGCUCUGCUGUUGACUUGGUUCUUGUAGGAUCAGCACCAGCCUAAAUUGUAAGAGACAGUCUCCACUUCAGGUGACCACCACACCACCUCCCCGCAUACACCCAGCAGUGUCUAAAGACAGAGGAGCCAGAGAGGCGAGGCACCGCCUGGUAGGGGUCCAGCUUGGAGACCAGCUUGGCGGAGGCCGAGAAGCCAUUCCACAUACAGUCCUGCAGGAUGAUGUUCUUCACGAAGGUCUCGUCAUCCGGGUCGCAGACGAAGCUCUGCUUCACCGCGUCUCCUCCUGGCAGCUCGGGCAGGUCUGCGAUGGAGAAGCUAUCACCGUCGUGGUCCCUGGGGGCGAAAGACACGGCGACCGCUUCGCAGGGAGGCGAGUAGAGCCCGGCGUGGCCCGGGGACGGGCGCGGCGUGGGCAGCAGCUCGAAUUUCUUCCAGAUGUCCUCGCUGGGCGCUGGCGGCUGCGGCGGCUGCUGGUGGUGCACGUCCUCCUCCUCAUCGUCGCACAUGAAGUAUGGCUGCACCGAGUCAUAGUCCAGGUCGUGGUUGCCGUUAGCGAGGCUCACGUGGAGGGGCAUGGUCGCGGCGUUGCGUUUGGAGGCGACCCGGAGGGGUGCAGGGCUGCUGCGGAAACCUGGCGCGCUGCGCAGCAGCCCCGAACCACUCCCCUUCCCAGACCCUCACUUCCGACAAUCCCGACAGUCCCUUCACCAGGCUUGGUCUCCGGCUGCAGCGGAGGGAGGAGGCGUCAGCUCGUCGCCAGACGCCACGCUCAAAGUAUCGCGCCACCUUACGGAGAGGGGCUAUAGGCGCUGCAUCCUACGUGCACAGGAUACAUUUUCGUGGACGCAGAUAACCUAUUCUCCGCAUACUCUCACUCAUUUCCUGCUAGUGUCUACCUCUCCACCUCUCAGUCCUCUUCGUUCGCCCAGUGACUCUUCUACUUUCAUGUCAUUUGUAACACGUGUGAUUUCAUGUACCUAUGAAAUCGAGAACC